rnacentral:rRNA from 1 species
UACGUAGGCAGCGAGCGUUGUUCGGAGUUACUGGGCGUAAAGAGUGCGUAGGCGGUUUUCUAAGUUUGGUGUGAAAUCUCCCGGCUUAACUGGGAGGGUGCGCCGAAGACUGGAAGGCUUGAGUAUGGGAGAGGUAAGCGGAAUUCCUGGUGGUAGCGGUGAAAUGCGUAGAUAUCAGGAGGAACACCUGCGGUGUAGACGGCUUACUGGACCAUAACUGACGCUGAGGCACGAAAGCGUGGGUAGCAAACAGG